UAAUAUUUUUCUUAACGACCAGAGUCUCCAGAAUGAGAUCACUUUAGUGUCGCUGUUUUGUUUGAUGUUGAAUCAUUGAACUCAUGACUUCAACGCCUUCAUCAACUCACUUUCUUACCAUAAAAAACACCUUCAUUUCCACUAAGAAUCAUAUACACACUUCCCUAAAUACCCCUCUCCAUACAUCAAAUUCACCAAUUUGGACUGCCUCAGAGAUAGCUGAAUCUGUCCAUGGCAAAUUACUCAAAUGGGGUCCUCCAGGCACCAUUUGUACGGACACCAGAGCCUUACAACCCAACACAAACCAAUGGUUCUUCGCCAUCACAGGCCAACACUUCGAUGCUCACGACUUCAUUUCUCCCCAAUUGUAUGGUAAAGGCUGUGUUGGCGUCAUUGGGAACCGGGUUUGCGAGGGCUGGGACAAGGGUUUUGUUCAAGUUGAAGGUAAUGGCAAUGUUAACACUGUUGAUUCAUUGAUAAAUAUGGCUUCUUAUGCAAGAAACAAGAGGUUUAAUGGUGUUUUAGUUGGGGUUACUGGUAGUGUAGGGAAAAGUACAACCAAGAGUAUGAUAGCUUUGGCUCUUGAAAGUUUAGGAGUUAAUGUAUUCAAAAGUUAUGGGAAUUGGAAUAACAGAGUUGGUGUUGCUUUAAGUUUGAUUGGGAUGGAUAGAAAUGUUGAUAUUGCUGUUUUGGAGAUGGGAAUGAGUGGAAAGGGGGAGAUAUUGGAGCUAGCAAGGAUGGUGAGGCCGGAGAUAAGGGUGGUUUUGAAUGUGGGUGCUUCACAUUUGGAGAAUUUAGGGAGUUUGGAGGAGGUUGCAAUGGCGAAAAGUGAGAUUUUUAGGGAAGCCAAGCUGGGGGAUAUUUGUGUUUUCAAUGCUGAUGAUCCUCUUGUUUCAACCCUUCCGGUGCCUCACGGUGUUAGGAAGGUGUUUUUUGGUCGGAGAAUGGGAUGUGAUGUUCGGUUGGUUGCGGCUGAAACUGCAGAUGGAGGUCUUGGAGUUCGAGUUGUUUUAGAAAAAGAGAAAGAGAUGGUGAAGUUUGUGAUUCCUAGUCCAGGCCUGCAUUUGGCCCUCGAUGCAUGUGCAGCAGCAGCAGUGGCAACUCUGUUUGGGCUUUCUCUUGCUCAAGUUGGAAAAUCCUUUUCCAAAUUUGUUCCUGUACACAUGAGGUCAGAGCUUCAAGUUGCCAGAAAUGGCAUCAAGAUAGUCAAUGAUGCUUACAAUGCCAAUCCUCUUAGCACCAGAGCUGCCAUUGACUUGCUACAAAGUAUUGCUUGUGAUGGUAACAGAGUUGCCAUUUUAGGAGACAUGUUGGAACUUGGCUCAAUCGAGAUAGAGUCUCAUGAGAAGAUAUUAAGUCAUUGUUGUGAUUCCAAUAUUGAUUUAGUUGGCCUUGCUGGAAAUAGAUUUCUUAUAGCGGCAAAGAAUAUGAAUCUAAAUAGAGUAAAAAAUAUUGUACAUGCCAAUGAUGCCAAAUUCCUUGCUCAGAAAAUUGUUAAGAGAUUAAAAUUUAAUGAUGUUGUUCUGGUAAAGGGUAGUCGUGCAAUGCAGAUGGAAAAAGUGGUCGAUACAAUUAAGGCGAUGAGUAUACACAUUCCGCCAUAAGAGUUAUGAGAAUACCUUUGGAACUUCUUUUAGGACCAUGGUUGACUUGUAGGAUUAUCAAUCACGAAGUUAUGUUCACUCCAAGAAGUCCCAUAUUAAAUUUACCUAACGAAUAAUUAAGACCUCAUUUUUUUUUUAGUUGGAUACUUCACUUUUGCUGAUGUCGAAGCUGACAGUAACCACUUGCGGGUUCAGUCAUCUCAUGACAGUCUUUUGGAUGAGAAAUUUUUACAAGCUAUAAAGGGGCUAGCUGGUCCUCACUUUUAUCUACCCCACCAUUCAGUGCACAUUUCAAUUUCAACAGGGUGGUCGCCGGCUACUCAAAUGGCGAUUUCAUUAGACUUUGAGAUGAAGAAACCAAAUUGAGAAGGACAGUAGUAAGAGCCUACUGUAGGGACAGUGCCGAGUGUGGACACGGACCAAGUUCAUGACAAUGUGCUUUCAUAUUGCUACAUGUUAAAAGAGAUUAUUUGAAAGAGAAUGACUUGAUAAUAGCAAGAAGCAAAAGCAACUGGGAAAAAUAGGAAGACAUUAAGUGCAAGGCUUCUUCCUCGUAUCAAUCACACGAUAGCCUGAAUAUGUUGUUCAUGCUUCUACCUAAAAUGUACUCAUGAAGCUGAAAAUUAUGUACAUAUAUUUCAUAAAAGAUAUGUACCAAAGACCUCUUGAAGCUGAAAAUGGGAUUGAAAGAUUGAUUCUUGUAAUGGGUUUGGAUUUUGGAAGGUUCAGUUUGUGGUGGUAAUGGGCUAUAAAGAAGCGAAUUGACA